CUGGCUAAGGUUUUGAUUUAGACAAAAGAUGUCUUAACAAUGUCAGUAGAAUGCUUUAUGGGAAUGCUGUGGCUUUCUGGUAGGAAAUCAUGUGACCUCCUCGGCCAAGGUUUUGUUAUGGUGCCAGGAGGGAGAGAACGAGAGAGGGAGUGAAGGGGGAAACUUGGAAUGCGAUGCCAGCAAAGGGUUUUUAUUCUUUCUUUUUGGGGCUUUCUUUCAUUCUUGUGUUUGCUGAGAAAAUGGCGGACGGUGUGGAGCUGAAAUGAACCCGACUUGCCAAUGGAGCUGGGCACAAUAACACAACUCAACUUUAGUAUUUUUAAAUCAAAUUUUUUGCAUGGCACCCAUGUCUCAUAGCUUUUUUAUUCCUGAUAAAUUCUGCUUCCUAUCUGUCUGUCUCCGGCUGGGUACAAAAGAGAGGUCUGAACAAUCCAAAUCAAGUAGAGAUGAUGAAUGUCAAAUGGUUAGUAGAGAUCUGGAGUGAGAAAUGACCAUGGGUGACUCCUUACCCUGAAAGGCACACGAUCAACAAGGCUCCUAAUGGACCUUUCCUGCCAGUAGACCCAAGACCGAAGAGGAGGAGGUGGUAGCGGAGGUGUAGGGGAGGGGGUGGCAGAAGGGAGGCUGUUCCUCAGACGGCGCAGAGCGCUCUCUUCUCGUCUCCCCUCAUCAUUGGUAUGCAGUGACUGUUCCCCAGGCGACAGGGCCACUGGGUUGGGGCUAAACUGACUGCAGGAGAGUCAGGUCUACAAAGUAAAUGAGAGGAGAGCAAGACAGCAGGGAUCCCUACAACCUACAGGAUAAGUUAAACCCAGCCAGACUGUGCUUGGGGAGCACUGGGGCCACACUGCAUAUAUCAUCCAUCAUUGGCCCAGGGGCUGCUGGUAAGGCAGCAGACAGCUCCUCGGCAUUGACGACGGGAGCUGCAUCCUAAUUCUCCAACUCGGAUCGCUCGGAACACUCACUCUCUACGCUCCUCCCCCGCCACCCAGGACGGAAAAUCGUUAACCCUGCAAUCUGGGAACAAAGCACAGAGCUUAGCCAGUCCACCAGAGCCUGCUGCUAGCGUCAUCUCUAUUACUCCUCAUAUUUAACAAUGUCUUACAGAUCACACACUCAUCAAUGAGAAUUGUGUUGUUACUGAGGUGAAAGAUAAGAAUUUUAAAAAUCAGUAAUAAUGUGAAGCCAUGGUCAUAAACGUUCUUUAGAUGGAUUAUUAUUAUACUGUAUUGCAUAAGUCAUAAACUUCCAAUUGUUAAUAACAUGCAUAUAGUCCAGAUGUUCAAAGAUACUCAUAAGACGCUAUUCAGCAAUGUAGGGCCCUCUUUAUACAAAGUUGUACAGUUAAUUUGCCUUGGUAUAGUAUUCCUAUACAUGCAAGACAAGGGCCUUCUAUGUAUUACAAGACAAAAAAGGCAAACCUAUGUUUACAUUUAUAGGCUACACACUACAUUUAUAGGCUACACACUACAUUUAUAGGCUACACACUACAUUUAUAGGCUACACACUUCAAUGUGUCAUGAACAUGUCACAUCGUGAGGUAACCAAUUAAUCAAAUCAUUCAUGAAUAACAUGAAAUCUCAAAGUGUAUCCUACUGUAAAAGUUCUGAAGCAGUUUGUUAUAAUUCAUCUACCUCACAAAGUAUGCGUGUAACAUUAAUGACAUUAUACAGUUCUUGUUCUUCAGGCUGUUGAUACAUUUUUAUGAAUAAUUGUUUAAUUUCUUUGAUAAACAAUUUCCAUUUGAAUUCUUCUCCCUGGCUCUCCACUGAGGAUGGUGGACUCUUUAAUUCCUUUGCUCGUGGUGGGUGAGAGAGAGUUAACAGAGCACUUCUGCAGUCUGUUUUUCUAUCGCUGGAAAAUCAGUUGAACCACAGCUCUGAAAUGUUGUUCUGAACUCAAAAGACCCUCCUGAACUAGCAGGCUGGGGAAUAAAAUCCUGCUCCACACAAAGGCCACUUUGAUUUCUGAUGAGUAAAACAAACACCCUGCUUGUACAUGUUAUCAGAAUCUGCUGACUGUUCUCUUAUAGUUUUGCCCCCAAGGGAUCUCACAUAAAAAACAAGACAUCAACAGCAUAUGGCCAAACACAAGCUUCUCACUGUUAGGAAAGGGGAUGCCUAGCCAGUUGUACAACUGAAUGCCUUCAACUGAAAUGUGUCUUCCGCAUUUAACCCAACCCCUCUGAAUCAGAGA